rnacentral:lncRNA from 1 species
GCGCUUUUCACAGAAAUAACUAAUAUAAUACGAUCUGAUCAUGGCAAUUAAUUAAUAACAUUGGUAUCAAUCCUUGAAUUCACUUUCAAUAUUCUGCAUGCUUUUCAGCUGGAGACUGAAGGGCAAAGUUUUAAGGCCAUUCAAGACCUGUGGAAUUCUGCUGCUGCAGGUGCUGGAAAUAGCAACUUCUCUGUUCAUCCUUCUCAUGACAGUCCCAUGAACUGUGACCCGGAACCUGCUCUACAAAUUGGGUACGUACAUACAAAAAAUAAAAAAAAUUUAAUCCAGGUCGAUGAUAAAAUACAUAGACAUUAAUAAGGCCUGUGGUGUUAGUGCAGGUACCUGAAUUAUCUUCCAUCUGAAGGGUCUUCAGUGCCAAAGAAUACGGUUGGUGAGACCAACUUCAUCCAAGGAUGGGUCCUUUGAGUAGAGCAUUGAGAU